UGGCACUGCAGGACUCUCUAGGCUUCCAGUUCUUCUGGACCCUUCAUUCCAACCUACUGAGUUGGGGGUCUCCGCAAGCCCCAACCAGUGAAGCAAGGUGCUGGACUCUGCAUGGAGCUGGCAGGCCCUCUAUGUAUAAGAGCAGGCCUUGGGGGUCCUGACAAGCUCAGUUUGUUCAGCAUUGCAGAGAAUGUGGCAUCACUGCUCUGUGUGGUUCUUCCAGAAUCAUCUAUUUCUGCCUCUCCUGGGCCUGAUUCAGGGGAGGAUAGUCUCUGGCUGCUGCCCCUGUGCUCAGACAGAGCACUGCUCAGUUUUGACUUUUGUUAAUGCCAGGGAUUGAACAUGGGACCUUGGAGUCUCAAGACUUCUGCAUAAACUACUGUGCUAUCUCUCCAACCCAAGAAGUCUCUACCUCUACAGCUUGUUACCUGAGGACUCAGGGGCAAGCAACAACAAUAGCAACAACAACAAAAAGGAAACACAAUGGGACAGAUAACCUCCAGGAGCAGCGGAUUCAUAGUGCAGGAACGGAGCCCGCAAUAACCCUGGAGGAAAGAAAAAAUGAUUUUACAUGAGAGUGAAAGACAGAGCCAGAGUGCACUACUCUGGUACAUGUGGUGCUAGGACUGGAUGGACCCUGGAACUUCAGGCAAGUCCAUAUAGAAGAGGAGUGGUUAGAUCAACAUCUUUUCCCCCCUCGAUGAGGAAUGAACAUUCGUCUCUUUUCAUACACAAAUCUUCAAAAUCUCUGUCCAGCAUAAUCCUACUCUCUUGGACAAAAUCAUAAGUAUGUUCACUGUCUCUUAAGAGAAGCUACCCAAGCCUUGAGUAGUGACUUUUUCAGAGGUCUUAAGACAUGAGCACUUGUAGUCUGGGAGGUGGUGCAGUGGUUAAGACAUUGAACUAUCAAGCAUGAGAUCCCAAGUUCAAUCCCGGCAGCACAUGUACCAGAGUGAUGUCUGGUUCUUUCUCUCGCCUAUCUUUCUCAUGAGUAAAUAAAUAAAAUAUUUUUUAAUUGUCUUUAUUUUAUUUAUUAGACAGAGACAGCCAGAAAUCUAGAGGGAAGGGGGUGAUAGAGAGGGAGAUACCUGCAACAUUGCUUCAUCACUCACAAAGCUUUUCUUCUGCAGGUGGGGAGUGGGGGCUUGAACUCGGGUCCUUCUGUACUGUCACAUGUGCGCUCAACCAGUUGCACCACCACCCAGUCCCAUAAAUAAAAUCUUAAAAAAAAAAAAAAAAAAAGACAUGAGCCCUUUUUUAGAGAAUAACCUCAAGGGGGCCAGGUGAUGGCAUACCUGGUUAAGCACUCACAUUACAGUGCGCAAAAGCCCACGUUCAAGUCCCUGGUCCCUGUUUAUAAUCAGGGUAUCUAAUGCCUUGAAACUGUAGGGGGAAAGCUUCAUGAGAGGUGAAGUAGGACACCAGAUGUCUCUCUGUCUCUCUCCCUUUCUAUCUACCCUGCCCCCUCAACUUCUCUCUGUCUCUAAUAAAUAAAAAGAUUUUAAAAAAAUGAGAUGAACCUCAGGCAUUAAUUGUUUCAUUUUCUUUUUUUUCUUUUUCUUUUUCUU